rnacentral:rRNA from 1 species
UAGAGGAAGUAAAAGUCGUAACAAGGUUUCCGUAGGUGAACCUGCGGAAGGAUCAUUAGUUCACCUCCAGAUUUGGAAAAGGGAUAAAUACGGGUGUGGUGGGAUCCUUCGCCCGGUGGGAUGCUGGUGGAUGCCCACCACGUGCCCCCCGGCAACGAUUCGCGGUCCCCUCACACCCACCCUUGCCAAACCAUGUCCGUGUACCUCUCCAUGUUGCUUCCCCGGGACCAGUGGUGGAGCCCGCGCCGUGGUGGACCACUCAUCUCACCCGUCGCAGGGACCCGAGUAACCCCCGGGGAAGGUACCCCCCAAAACAAAUCGCUAUGAACCAGCUGUCUGACACAGGCCCACAAGGCCUUAGGUAUAUAAAUACACUUAAAACUUUCAACAACGGAUCUCUUGGCUCUCGCAUCGAUGAAGAACGCAGCGAAAUGCGAUAAGUAAUGUGAAUUGCAGAAUUCAGUGAAUCAUCGAAUCUUUGAACGCACAUUGCGCCCUUUGGCAUUCCUUAGGGCAUGCCUGUUCGAGCGUCACUAAAACCCCCCCUCACACUAGCUUGUGGUGGUGGCGUCGGUGGGUACCGGGGACCACGCGUCCCCUCCGACCCACCCCGCCGAAAUCGAUGGGCAGACAACUGAUCUCAGCAGCUGGCUUAGUACAAUCGACCUUUCCGGCCCACCAGCCGGUCGGGCAUCAAUCAGUCAGCAGUUAGGUUACGUCCCGCCCCUCAGUUGGACCCCCAUCCAAUGAAGUAGACUCUGGGUUGACCUCGGAUCAGGUAGGGAUACCCGCUGAACUUAAGCAUAUCAAUA